rnacentral:rRNA from 1 species
UACGUAGGAUGCAAGCGUUGUCCGGAAUUAUUGGGCGUAAAGAGCGCGCAGGCGGUCUAUCAAGUCAGAUGUGAAAUAUCCCGGCUUAACCGGGAGGGGUCAUUUGAAACUGGUAGACUAGAGUACAGCAGAGGAUAGCGGAAUUCCCGGUGUAGUGGUGAAAUGCGUAGAUAUCGGGAGGAACACCAGUGGCGAAGGCGGCUAUCUGGGCUGAAACUGACGCUGAGGCGCGAAAGCGUGGGGAGCAAACAGG